UAGCUGGGUAGCUAUGUGUGGACGGGAUAAGUGCUGAAAGCAUCUAAGCAUGAAGCCCCCCUCAAGAUGAGAUUUCCCAACUUCGGUUAUAAGAUCCCUCAAAGAUGAUGAGGUUAAUAGGUUCGAGGUGGAAGCAUGGUGACAUGUGGAGCUGACGAAUACUAAUCGAUCGAAGACUUAAUCAAAA
rnacentral:rRNA from 1 species